CAGUCGAGGGGUAGGCUCUCUUCGGAGAGUACACGACCGGCGAACGGGUGCGUAACGCGUAUGCAACCUGCCUGUAUCUGGAACAUAGCCCCGAGAAAUCGGGAUUAAUUUUCCAUAAUAUCCUUUAGUGACAUCACUUUUGGAUUAAAGCUCCGGCGGAUACAGAUGGGCAUGCGUGACAUUAGCUUGUUGGUGCGGUAACGGCGCACCAAGGCCAAGAUGUCUAGGGGGUCUGAGAGGAUGAUCCCCCACACUGGUACUGAGACACGGACCAGACUCCUACGGGAGGCAGCAGUGAGGAAUAUUGCGCAAUGGAGGAAACUCUGACGCAGCCAUGCCGCGUGAAGGAUGACGGCCCUAUGGGUUGUAAACUUCUUUUCUGCUUCAAGAAACAGUCGUACGUGUACGGCUUUGACGGUAGAGCAGGAAUAAGCAUCGGCUAACUCCGUGCCAGCAGCCGCGGUAAUACGGAGGAUGCAAGCGUUAUCCGGAUUCAUUGGGUAUAAAGCGUGCGCAGGCGGGUGGGUAAGUCAGAGGUGAAAGCCCGCAGCUUAACUGUGGAAUUGCCUUUGAUACUGCUCACCUUGAGUCCAGCUGAGGUAGGCGGAAUGUAGUAUGUAGCGGUGAAAUGCUUAGAUAUACUACAGAACACCGAUUGCGAAGGCAGCUUACCAAACUGGCACUGACGCUCAGGCACGAAAGCGUGGGGAGCGAACAGGGUUAGAUACCCUGGUAGUCCACGCCGUAAACGUUGAUCACUCGUUGUUGGCAAUACACCGU
rnacentral:rRNA from 1 species